UACGGAGGAUGCGAGCGUUAUCCGGAUUUAUUGGGUUUAAAGGGUGCGCAGGCGGCACGGCAAGCCGGCGGUCAAAUCGCGGGGCUCAACCCCGCCCAGCCGUCGGAACUGCCGGGCUAGAGUGUGCGAGAAGUGCGCGGAAUGCGUGGUGUAGCGGUGAAAUGCAUAGAUAUCACGCAGAACUCCGAUUGCGAAGGCAGCGCACCGGCGCCCUACUGACGCUCAGGCACGAAAGCGUGGGUAUCGAACAGG
rnacentral:rRNA from 1 species